GUGCUAGUGAGUGGACGUGUCGUCGCAGCCGGCUUCGAAAAUUCUACUACGCAAUUUAUUAGCUGAUCACUGGUAAUUUGAAAGGCGGGAAAAAUUUCAAUAUGGACGCCAACAUACUUUUUCAAGAAAUUUGAUGUUUCAUCUGCGUACUACAAUUAUUGUGAUCGCGCGCAAUGCGAUCGGUAGAUUCAGUGUUUGCUUCGUAACAGUUUUUUAAUAUUUUAGAGCACAAUAGCUCUAAUUAAAUUUAUUUAUCAAAGUCGGGAAAUUAGAGUCAGUGUUUGUUCGUCGAUUGUAAAUUAAACGGACGCGUUAAUAGUUUUUUAUUUUUUAUUUUUUUUUAUUUUUAAUAUUCGUUUUCGGUACAGAGUAGAAUCAGUGCUUCUCGAAGGAAUAAUGCAGUCAUCCAUCACGCGAAGAGGUGCCUGACUUUGCCGGUGUUAUGAACAUUUCUACUGGACUUUAAUUUUAAAAAAUAUUUGUGACCGCGUGCAAUGCGGUCUGUAGAUUCAGUGUUUGCUUCGUAACAGUUUUUUAAUAUUUUAGAGCACAAUAGCUCUAAUUAAAUUAUCAUAAUUAUUCGCGAAACUAGAGUCAGUGCUUGGUCGUCGCCUAUGUUUCAAAUCGACGCGAUGGUAGUUUAUUUUUAUUUUAUUUUUUUAAACAUUCGUUUUCGGUACAGGAUAGAGUCAGUGUUUCUCGAAGGAA